rnacentral:piRNA from 1 species
UAGGAGAUGUUUGGUACUGGCUGCCUU